rfam:Oryza glaberrima chromosome 2 Oglab02_0258_27, whole genome shotgun sequence.
AAAAAGACAAAUCCUGAGUUUGCGUGUCCAACUUUAACUGUCCGUCUUAUAUAAUUUUUUUUUAUAAUUCGUAUUUUCAUUGUUGUUAGAUGAUAAAACAUGAUUAAUAUUUUAUGCAUAACUUGUCGUUUUAAUUUUUUUUCAAAUUUUUUUUAAAUAAGACAGACGGUCAAACGUUGGGCACGGAAAACAAGGUUUGUCUUUUUU